CCCUUACCCAAACAUUAUAAAUAGUUGUGAACAACUUUGCACAGUUUAACCAAGUUAUUUUAGAAAAGCUUCUUCAAUUCUAUUAUAGAAUUCUGCCUAUGAUUAUCACUUUUCUAACAUUUGAGGGGUUUUGUUCCUUUUCAUGGGAAGUCUUCUGAAGACUGUUGAUACAACUUUGGCUUGUGGAGAGAUCGUACUAAUUGGAAACAAUGCUGAAUCUAUCAAUCCCAUACUUGAUCCCCUACUUGGAAGACAUACAGAAUUUCAAGCAUUGGUGUCCAUGUUGUAAAUGUAAGCGACAGCUCACAUCUCCUUGAAUACAUGAAGCUACUGGAAGAUGCACUCUUGCCCUGUACCAAGACUCGAAAAGAAGUUCUCUGGGAAUUUCCAUCUCAUCCCUCACACUAUCUGGCUAGCCCUCCCUACAAGCCAAAGCUGAAGGCUCAGACCACCCUCAUUAUUUUCACUGUCACCAGGGACAGGCUGGAAGAACAGCUGUUGGCUGAGGAACAGUUUCCUGACUUGGAAAACCAUAAGGCUGUGGAAGUGAUGGAUGCAUUCAGGGGGUUAGAGAAAGAUAUUGAAGUAUCCACCUAGAAGGGGAAAAUGUGCGCAGACUCAAAAAUGUCCAAAAAAGGAAAAGCUUUCCUGGGAAUGGAAACACAAAAGCUCUCUUCAGAAACUAAUCAUACUGAUGGCAGUCCAUCCGGAAAGAAUGACGUAUGCUCCUAGGAAUGUUGUGGAUGCAGAGCAUAGCUCAAGAUAUGUGGAAGGCAAAGGAAUGGACUUAGUAAAGUCAUACAAAGAAAUCAGUCCAACCACUCCUUUGUUUUUCAUUCCAUCUCCAGGAGUGAACCCAUUUGAAGACAUGGAGAUCUAGGCAAAAAGCUUCUACUAUAAACUCUGGAAGAUUUCAUAUCUCUUUAGAACAAAGGCAGAAGAUGGUUAUGGAGGAGGACUUGAUAAGGCUGCCAAGUAUGGCCACUGGCUUCUUCUCCAACAGAAUAUUCGUGUGGCAGCCAAGUGGCUAGGAACCUUGGAAAAACUCCUUGAGCAAUACAGUGAAGAAAGCCACUCUGACUUCCAUGUCUUCAUUAGUACUGAACCAGCUCCAGGCCCAGAAGAGCACGUCGUUCUUCAAGGAAUACUUGAAGACUGGAUUACAAUUACCAGAGGAGCUCCUACAAGGAUGCUAGCUAAUCUGUACGCUGCCCUCCACAGUUUUGACCAGGUAAAAGCAAGAUGGACUUUUUUCAUCCAUGCUCUAUUUACUCCUUCCUCUGUGGGGGGAACUGAUGGUGUUGAUGACUAAUGUGUAGCAGACCAGAACUUUGAGGUCUUUUUGCUGGCUUCUGUUUCCAGAGUAAAUGGCAGCCACGGGGUGCUAUCUGCCACGUGCCACCUCCAUGUUUUCCAUUCAUAUUGGGGGGAAAGUUGUGUUAAUAGCACAUAUAUACACACAUACACAUUUUUAAAUAUCUAGUUAUGGAUGUGCAUGGCUAUGUUUAUAAAGAUAGAAAAAAAGGUGCAUUUAUUGUACCAAUAGUACCCAAUAGUGCACUCUUAUGAAAACACCUGGCCAUGCUCUUCUAUUUGCUCAUGCUUCCUAACUUUGCUCAGCUGGUAAUUAUUGCUAAGUUAGACCAUAUCCAUGCUCGCACAAAGUGGAUUUAUGCAUCCAGAUAUUCUGGCAUUGCUUCAGUACCCUGUGUAUGAAUUCUUGUAGCUAGGUGUAAAGAAGGGAAUUUAUGAGCAAGGGUUACGUACUGCUCGCUGUUCUGUCUUCAGCUAUUUUCCUGUGUGAGCUCUGCUUGACAGAAGAAAGAAGUAGGCAAAGGAACAGGAAGGAAUAUAUCCCUGAAUGGGCUCUGCCUUCUACCUUCCAAGACCCUGGCUCUCCUUACUCUGAAGAACUUGUAGACAGAUCUUCCCAUUUGAUGCAAGUCAGCCAUGGAGGUGCUGGAGGAGCAAGUUUCAAGUCAGCAAAUCAUACCAUGAUAAAAGCAAACAAAAUAAUUUACUUUAGUCACCUAGUAGAGUAUUCAGGCUUCUUAGGACAGUGGUCAUGGAUCCAAGCCUGUCAGAGUUCAAGAAGCAUUUGGACAACAUGCUCAGAAAUACAUGUUGAAUUUUGGAUGGUCAUGUGUGGAGCCAGGUGAUGAACCCCAUUAUUCUUGUCCAUCCUUUCAACCCUGAAGAUUUGAUAAUACUAUUAACAUGUCUUUAUGUGUACAUUGGAUACGUGAAAGCAGAGCUUGGAUGCAAGCAGGGUAAGAGUUGCUUCUAAAGGAGACUCUGUCAACCAGUACCUAGAAAACCAGCACUGUGCACUAAAGGAUAUGUGUCACAGCUGCUGUAGCUACAAAGGCAUAGAUUAUGGCAGUAUGAGAAUAGCUAUAACUUCUACUGCUGUGAUGUUUUUCUUUUUAUAUAUAUAACUUACUAUAGUAAUGCUUUUAAUAGAAAGCUGAAAGAAAAGGCUAGACAAAAAUUUUAAUAAGAGCAAGCCAUAUGCUUUAUAGUCCCACUUCAGACUAUUUUCAGUUCAAGAAAUACAUAUGUGCAUUUUAAUUAGCUUAUUUCUAAGCUUGGUACUUUGGAAACUUUCUCCUUUCUUCCCUUCCCCCUUAUUUUGAGCCACAGGUGUUUGAAGCUUACUGCAAAUUCCUGUGCAGACAUUAUAUUUAACACAUCUCUUGUCGAGGUAUUUUAAUAUAUGGAUAUUAAUAUAUUUUUUGGAGGAAAAAACACUAUUGAGAAAAUCAAACUACACCUUACCUAGGUGGAAUAAAUUUCAUGUUUUGUUUCUUUAGGAUAGAAGCUUGUCUUGUAUUUUUAAUGGCUAAACUCAAGAUUCUGGCUUGAGCACAGUAGUUGGGUUUUUUUUUUUUUUUUUGUCGGAGAGAAUCUUCACUUUUGCUCAGACUUUGCGAACAGUUGUUCAGUUAAUGAUGACUUGUUUACUUUUGGCAGCCAAGAGUUUAUCCCUCUGAAGUUUCUUCCACCCAUAUAUGUUUUUAUGGGUAUCAAAAGUAGUAUUUGUUAUGUCUGU